ensembl:lncRNA
ACUUUCGUGGAAGGACAAUUAUUAUGGCUCGAGCUUCAGAUGGCAAGCCUGUGGAUGUGAGUUGUGGAAGCAAACUAGUAAAAUUUAUAAAUUAAAACAUCUUAUUAGAACCUUUUUCCUUUAUAAUACAUUCCCUUCUCAACACUAUUUAAAUUAAUUUCCUCUCAGAUGUGUAAAGCAUGGCUGUGUAUUUCCAUCUGUAAUUUCAUAUAUAUUAUUUUCUUUUUUCAUCCAUUAUCUCUAGCUUGUGAAUCUAAAAGAACUAGGCCAGGCCUUAAAAAACAAGGUUAUGAAAAUGAAAUUCUACCAAAAUUGAAAAUAUGGUACAAAGAGUAAGGUUGGUCUAAGUUCGUAUGUUUUAAAUAGAAAGGAUUGGGAAAAGAUGCACUUUAAGUUAAAUGGUUCCAUAUUAUCUAAUAUUUUCAUUCAAGAACAAUAGGCUAUUUAUUCAUCCUCAGAAUCACAGGUUUUUUGUCUUGCAGACUAUUUUUCAUAAGCUUAUAAUUGUUUUUCAGAGUUCUAUUGGACUGAAACGCAGCCGCUAAAUGUAUCUGUAGGUCAUUUGGAUGAGAACAAUUGGCUAGUAAAACUAAGACGAAAAUUCCUUUAAAAAUUAUGUUUGAAGCUCAGGUGAUAUAGAUUUAUGAUUAAUUUCCCUAAAGAAGAAGGCCUAUAAUCUUAAAAGGGGGGGAUAUAUCCAAGUUUGAUGACUUCACAUUUUCUUAUGGGUAGAAUGGUGGGAAAACCCAUAUAAAUAAUCUGAAUGCAGGUCACCAAUGGGAAUUACUAAUACUGUUAACACAAAGAAUUUAACAGUUUGAUUUUAUUUCAAAAGUACAAUUCUGUGCAAAUACAUAUUUGGCCAGCAUAUUAUUUCUAAAGGCCCCUGUGGUAGAUACCAGAAAUGUAUGAUAGAUGGAUAGAUAAAUAGAUAUUAUAAAUGUGCAUAUAUGUAGUCAAUAAAAUAUUUUUAAACUGUCUUCUCUAAGAAAAAAAUGACAAAUCAGUGAGAAUAUCAUAACUGAAGUUCAGUGAUGGUCAUCAAAAUAGGUCAGUGUAGAAGCCAGUUCUGGAGAUUUGACAUCACGGCAUCAUGGAGAGUGAGCUUGUUUGGGGAUCACACAGAUGUGAUUAUAAAUCCUGGCACAUCCAAUUAACUCUUAUGAUCUUCUGCUUUAUUAGCUAUUGAUUUAUCUGAGUCUUGGAAUCCUCAAUUAUAAAAUAAUUUUGGUAGACUCACUAGUUAUAAUUGUAUAGAGUGUGUGCUAUAGUGCAUCUCAUGUGGUCAGUUCUCUGUAUAUUCUUUUAUUUAUUUAGGGCCAGACAUGCCACUCAGCCCUGACAUAGAGAGUGGAAAACAUGCUACUCCUCUCUCAAAGAUCUUAAAGGCUAAGUCUAUGUCAGUAAAAGUGGAUUAAAUCUAUGUCAGUAAAUGGUGGCUGCCAAUAGUAUUAACAGUAUUCAUUAAAGACCUUUCAGAAAGGUUUCUCCAAAGUGAAGGGAGAAAGUGGAACCCAGAAGCUGAACAUCAGAAAUGCAAGUUUCAGCACUGGGUGGAGCGUAGGUAGAUAGGAAGUGAUCUGCAUGGAAUUCUAGCAACUGUAGUCAGGGUAGCAGUGGUCCACAAUGAAGCACUGGAGUUGGGGACUGGAAUCUGAUCUUCCAUAGCACUAGUGAGGGUAAAGUGGGAAACUGGGAGGACCGAAGAACAUUAGGAUUUGGGUUAGGAUAUAAAUUCAUAACCUUUGGAAAAGAGAUGGCAAUGAGAGAGGAACAAGUUAUUGCAAGAGUGGGGGCCUGACUCAGAGGCUCCCCUCUGAAGAUUGAGUAUUGUGUUCUGUGUCUUAUUAAGUUCUUCCUCAAGGAAAGAACCUUAGGCUGAAGAAUAUCAUGUGUGGCCUGAUCAAAAGACACAGUUAUAGCCUUUUGUGAAAAUUACAGUCUUCAAAUGGUUUCAUAGUUCAAUGUGGAAUCUUAGUUCAUUUGAGAAUAAUAUUAAAAGCCGUAUCACAAUGAUGGAGCUUUUUAAGGAGAUAGUCACUGUUUAAGUUAAACAAAUAAAAUAUAUAUAUUUAAAAGAUUCUUGGUCCUACUAAAACUUUAAGUGAGCUAACUUUUUAAAAUCAUCUCCAUAUAAUUCCCGUCGUGGCACAGUGGUUAACGAAUCUGACUAGGAACCAUGAGGUUGCGGAUUCAAUCCCUGGCCUUGAUCAGUGGGUUAAGGAUCCGGUGUUGCCAUGAGCUGUGGUGUAGGUUGCAGACGCGGCUCCGAUCCGCGUUGCUGUGGCUCUGGCGUAGGCCAGUGGCUAUGGCUCAGAUUAGACCCCUAGCUUGGGAACCUCCAUAUGCCGUGGGAGCGGCCCAAGAAAUG